rnacentral:rRNA from 1 species
UACAGAGGGGGCAAGCGUUAUUCGGAAUUAUUGGGCGUAAAGGGCGCGUAGGCGGCCUUUCAAGUGACGGGUGAAAUCCCUCGGCUUAACCGAGGAACUGCCUGUCAGACUGGGAGGUUUGAGACCGGGAGAGGUGAGUGGAAUUCCUAGUGUAGCGGUGAAAUGCGUAGAUAUUGGGAGGAACACCAGUGGCGAAGGCGGCUCACUGGACCGGAACUGACGCUGAUGCGCGAAAGCGUGGGGAGCAAACAGG